rnacentral:rRNA from 1 species
UACGGAGGGUGCGAGCGUUGUCCGGAAUCACUGGGCGUAAAGGGCGCGUAGGCGGCCUGAUAAGUAGGGGGUGAAAUCCUGCGGCUUAACCGCAGGGCUGCCUUCUAAACUGUCGGGCUCGAGCACAGUAGAGGCAGGUGGAAUUCCCGGUGUAGCGGUGGAAUGCGUAGAGAUCGGGAGGAAGGCCGGUGGCGAAGGCGGCGCUCUGGAACAUUUCUGACGCUGAGGCUCGAAAGCGUGGGGAGCAAACAGG